UGGGGAAUAUUGGACAAUGGGCGCAAGCCUGAUCCAGCCAUGCCGCGUGAAUGAUGAAGGCCUUAGGGUUGUAAAGUUCUUUCGUUGGUGAAGAUAAUGACGGUAACCAAAGAAGAAGCCCCGGCUAACUUCGUGCCAGCAGCCGCGGUAAUACGAAGGGGGCUAGCGUUGUUCGGAAUCACUGGGCGUAAAGAGCACGUAGGCGGUAUAGCAAGUUAGGGGUGAAAUCCCAGGGCUUAACCCUGGAACUGCCUUUAAAACUGCUAUGCUGGAGUCUCGGAGGGGAUGGUGGAAUAUCUAGUGUAGAGGUGAAAUUCGUAGAUACUAGAUGGAACACCGGUGGCGAAGGCGGCCAUCUGGACGAGUACUGACGCUGAGGUGCGAAAGCGUGGGGAGCAAA
rnacentral:rRNA from 1 species